AGAACCCACGGCAAACACGAGAGGCCCCGAAGGAAUGUGUGAUGGAUCUUCCUGAAACGUUAUUGCCUGGAUCCAGUGAGAUCUUCGCCUCUGGGAAGCAGCGGGAAAAGGUUUGUGUCAGCUGCCAUGCGAGCGGAUGAGAACAGGAUGUGAACCACAAUCGACAUGGCUUGGAAAGCAGCUGGUCCUGAGCCCUAAAGGAAUUCUAAUGCACUUGGAAAUGAUACAGUGAAGAGCCUGCACGGGUGUCCUUCUUUGAGUGCCAUGCAUUAUUAUGAGUGGCACAGACUGAAGAAAACAGCAUUGGACUCGCCAGGAACGAAAACAGGGAUUGCAGAACCCCCCGUUUGUAGAAGUGAAUUGGAGCAGGUAACCAAGGGUUUCUGAGCCUCAGUUUUGCUCUCUGUAAAUGGAGAUGAUAAUCCUCCUCGUAGAGCCCUUCUGGAUACUCUCAAGGGAUCAACAGGUAAAAGGUAUAAUCCUUGUUACAGAAAGUCAUCUGAGGGAGACUCUUUGCUCUACUGGGGGGCUAGAGUCUCAUGACUUUAUUCCCUGAAUCAAACACUCUAACUUUAGGAAGUAAGGGCAAGCCUUUGGGAUCAGAAUGUAUCCCAUUAUAAAUACAUAAAACUUAUCUUUACAAUGAGAGUUUAUAUUUUUUUUCAGUGACUGUCCAUUCAGUCAUUUUAAAAAGUGCUCACAAUUUAUUUUCACAUACUUGGGGUAAUUACAGAACUCUGGCAUGUACUGAUAUGGUUAAAACCAUAUUAAAUUUUUAUUAAAAAUCAAUAUAAGCUUCAAUAUAAAAAUAUAGUAAUAAAAGCAACUUUUUCUGCUCUAAGAAAGAUUUUAGGCAUCAUAUUCUUUUAUUUAGCAACCCCAUUGCUGUCAACUUGCCAUAAAAUUACAUAAAACAGAACAUUUUGGGGUGCAAGGGGGCUCCUGAAGACCUCAAUUACAUGUAACAGAAAUCCACAAUGCAUGUGAGGUUGGAACAUCUUUUCAAAUAUGAUUGCCUUUAGGGAGGACAUUUAAAAUUUGUACAACUGAUUAUGCUAUUAUCAAAGCCAAAAGGAAGAGGUCUAAUAAUUUAUUAGAAUGUAAACUUUAUGAGGGGAGGUAUUUUUAUCUCCUGUUUUCACUGCUCUAUUUCCAGUGCUUAGAAUAAAACUUGGUACACAGUACAUCCCAUGUAUGAAAAAAAUGUGUAAAGCUGACUCACUUGUAAAGACCUUAAACUGGUAUCAAAUACGUCUAUAACACAUACUUCUAAAAAUUUAAGGUUGGCUUAGGAAUGCAUAUUGGCAUAUUUCUUUCCUUUUAUGUGUCAAUUUGUAUUACAUAAAUAUAAUUGUGUGCAUCCCAAGAAAAUCAAAUUAAUAAAAAGCAGAUGACCAUUAACAUGGUAAAGAUUUAAUUUCAGAAUUCUAGUAUGAAAGAUUAUUUUUUCAGGUAGGGGGCUCUCAAAUAUUUUUGGAGUGUAACUACCACGUGUUUUAU